CAAUAGCGUAUAUUAAAGUUGUUGCAGUUAAAAGCUCGUAGUUGGAUUUCUGGUUGGAGCGACCGGUCGGGCAUUGAUUUGUCUGCACUGGAGUCGGUUCUGGCCAUCCUCUUGGAAAGUGCGUCUGUCAUUAAGUUGUCGGGCGUAUGAUCCAGGUCUUUUACUGUGAAAAAUUAGAGUGUUUAAAGCAGGCCUUCGCCUUGAAUACAUUAGCAUGGAAUAAUAAGAUAGGACUUUGAGUCUAUUUUGUUGGUUUGCGAGUCAAAGUAAUGAUUAAUAGGGACAGUUGGGGGUAUUCGUAUUUCAUUGUCAGAGGUGAAAUUCUUGGAUUUCUGAAAGACGAACUACUGCGAAAGCAUUUACCAAGGAUGUUUUCAUUAAUCAAGAACGAAAGUUAGGGGAUCGAAGACGAUCAGAUACCGU
rnacentral:rRNA from 1 species